CGCCAUUUAGCUUAAUGGUAGAGUACUAAGCUGGUAUUCGAGGGGGUACGGGUUACACUCCCGUAGCCGCGU
rnacentral:tRNA from 1 species